rnacentral:tRNA from 14 species
AAUUCCAGGUGGUGGUGAGCCGGUAUGGUGGGUUCGACUCCUGCG